rnacentral:rRNA from 1 species
AGCAGCCGCGGUAAUUCCAGCUCCAAUAGCGUAUAUUAAAGUUGUUGCAGUUAAAGAGCUCGUAGUUGAAUUUCGGGAUCAAUAUGUCGGUCGUGCUUCGGUACGUACUGGUAUCAUUGGUUUCUCCUUUCUGACGAACCAUGAUGUCAUUAAUUUGGUGUUAUGGGGAGUUAGGACUGUUACUUUGAAAAAUAGAGUGUUUAAAGCAGGCGUACGCUUGAAUACAUUAGUAUGGAAUAAUGAAAUAGGACGUUUGAUUCUAUUUUGUUGGUUUCUAGGAUCGACGUAAUGAUUAAUAGGGAUAGUUGGGGGCAUUAGUAUUCAAUUGUCAGAGGUGAAAUUCUUGGAUUUAUUGAAGACUAACUACUGCGAAAGCAUUUGCCAAGGAUGUUUUCAUUAAUCAAGAACGAAAGUUAGGGGAUCGAAGACGAUCAGAUACCGUCGUAGUCU